CAGAGUAUCGCUCCUCUGCAGUACAGGAGACGCCUUGCCACCUCCUCGAAAAUUAAAGAUGUUUUCUCCUUCUGAGUUUGGAGAGUUAGUCUUCAGCUCGAUAUCUGAGGGGGACAUACAGGACACAGGUGAGCUGUCAGGCGUCCAGCAGCACUUGUAGCGUGUCCUGGUCGUGGGCGUUUAUCGCAUAUACGAGAGCCGAAGCUCCGCUGUUAUCUUCCAUGCUUGGAUCGGCUCCUGCCGCUACCAGAGCGGUUGCCACCUCUGCUCCGGCCCGCUCCAUACAGGCGUACAUGAGUGCGGUGCGGCCCGCCUUGUCCUGUACGUUUGGGUCUGCCUGGUUACUAAGGAGAAACUUAAUUAGUCUCAACAUCGUUGUUCCAGACUGGUCACCCCGAAGACCUCGACAAGCGGCCAACAGCGGCGUUUCUCCUCUCUGGCUUCGUGCGUUCACCUGCGCGCCUCCUUCCACCAGAAGUCGAACCAAACGCAGUUUUCCCAGAUGAGCAGCGGUGAGGAGCGGACUUUCAUCCAUCAGAUCCUGCUGAUUGAUCCUUGAUGGGGUGUGAGAUGAUACCUUGAUAGGGUACAACUUGACUUGUAGAUGCUGCUGAAAUGAGAAUCAACACAGCAAUGCUUUUGUGUUAUGAAGUCGCACUCGCCAUGAUGUGUGUGCGCGCGCAUCUGCAAAGAUCGGGAAGCUGUGGAGGAGCUGCUGCCCGACCUUCGCAGAGUCGGCGUGCCUAACAUCACCCUGACCACAGACGCUCGUAGGCGACCGAGGCGUGCAGCCAGCGAGCACCUCACACGAUGCAGCUUCACGGACCGCGUUCGAGUGAACGAAGACGCCUUCACCCAGCAUGAAAGCGGAAGUGAAAACUACUUACCAGGAAUACUGUUGGAAGACACGGGGCUCAACGGACGCCAUCUUGGUCCGGUCAGGACCCGUGUGAGUAGCUGCCACAGAAAGAGGAAAGUGAGAUUAAGUUCUUCGACAUUGUGAGUACAUUGUAUGUUUAAUUCAGAUCCUUAUGUCUUACCUGUAUACGGAGUAUUAGAGAUCUUUUUGAAGUUGUGAAGCUGUGUGAAAGCGGCCCCACUGUAGGAAGGACCAGUGGGUGAGCCGAGUACAACCCGAUUAGGGGAAAGCAGCUGGAAGCGGCCGUGACGCCUACUGUGGCCUACCUGCUGUACUGUGUUCUGGAGUUCCCCGAAGGAAGGAGUCUUCGGUCGGAGAAGUACGGUGCAGACCUUAAAACCACUGAGUGAGUGAAGUGCUUUGUGAGAAUUUGUCUUUGAAGUGUGUACACUGGAGCAUUGCAGUGCUGUGCCGUGUCCCCGUUGUCUGCACUUACUCCGAGGCCGAAGGGGGAGACCCUGAGGAGAAAAGACGAACGCUACGUCGGCAGGAGCCACCUUUUCAUUAUUCGCCGCUCUCAACUUCUGACCCCUCGCCCGCUGGAAGUAACGAGGUGAGCACAAUCUGUAACGUACAACCGAUAGUGUGAGAAAGGAAGAUCUGUGAUUUGAAGUGAAUGGUGUGUGUGCAUUGAGUCAUAUCGCCAAUGUCUGCCGCACAGCAUUCUUCCAUCUUAGAAAUAUCUUGAAAAUACGCCAUAUACUGUCUACAUGUGACGCAGAGAAGCUUAUCCAUGCUUUUAUGACCUCUAGAAUAGACUAUUGUAACUCGCUACUCGGGGGAUGCCAUGCAAAUCAAGUAAAUAAGCUUCAGCUAUUUCAAAAUGCUUCUGCAAGGGUACUUACUCGAUCUAAAAAGUAUGACCACAUAAGCCCAAUUCUGGCAUCUUUACACUGGCUACCAGUUAAAUAUCGCAUACAAUUUAAAAUAUCACUAAUCACCUACAAAGCUUUAAAUGGCCUAGCACCCUCAUAUCUUAGAGAAUUACUAUCAGAAUAAAAUCCAUCACGCACACUACGGUCGCAAAAUUCUGGUCUCUUGAUUAUCCCUAGACUAUCAAAAGUGUCUAAAAGUGGAAGAUCCUUUUCCUACUUAGCCCCUAAGCUCUGGAAUGAUUUACCAACCGAUGUCCGAGAAUCAGACACAGUCGAUCAUUUUAAAUCUAGACUUAAAACUUUUCUCUUCAACAAAGCAUUCGCAUAAUUUGUCUAGUAAAGGUACUUAACUCGAAAUAGUUAUUGUACGGAACAAAGCACUCGCGUCAUAACACAGACCAACCAAAUAAAUAAAUAAAAACCUUAUCUUAUCGUAUGGUCGGG